UACGGGGGGAGCAAGCGUUGUUCGGAUUUACUGGGCGUAAAGGGCGCGAUAGGCGGCCACCGCAAGUCGACUGUGAAAUCUCCGGGCUUAACCCGGAAAGUCAGCCGAUACUGCGGGGCUAGAGUGCAGAAGGGGCAACUGGAAUUCUCGGUGUAGCGGUGAAAUGCGUAGAUAUCGAGAGGAACACCUGCGGCGAAGGCGGGUUGCUGGGCUGACACUGACGCUGAGGCGCGAAAGCUAGGGGAGCGAACGGG
rnacentral:rRNA from 1 species